UACGUAGGGUGCAAGCGUUGUCCGGAAUUAUUGGGCGUAAAGAGCUCGUAGGCGGUCUGUUGCGUCGGCUGUGAAAACCCGGGGCUCAACUCCGGGCCUGCAGCCGAUACGGGCAGACUAGAGUUCGGCAGGGGAGACUGGAAUUCCUGGUGUAGCGGUGAAAUGCGCAGAUAUCAGGAGGAAUACCGAUGGCGAAGGCAGGUCUCUGGGCUGACACUGACGCUCAUGCACGAAAGCGUGGGGAGCAAACAGG
rnacentral:rRNA from 1 species